rnacentral:rRNA from 1 species
GGCGGACGGGUGAGUAACGCGUAAAGAACUUGCCUUAUGGACUGGGAUAACAGUUGGAAACGACUGAUAAGACUAGAUAUAAUGGAGUAGUUGCAUGACUAUUUCAUGAAAAGAGAUGCCAUAAGAGAGCUUUGCGUCCUAUUAGCUAGUUGGUGAGGUAAAGGCUCACCAAGGCGAUGAUAGGUAGCCGGCCUGAGAGGGUGGACGGCCACAAGGGGACUGAGAUACGGCCCUUACUCUUACGGGAGGCAGCAGUGGGGAAUAUUGGACAAUGGGGGAGACCCUGAUCCAGCAAUUCUGUGUGCACGAAGACGGUUUUCGGAUUGUAAAGUGCUUUCAGUUGGGAAGAAAGAGAUGACGGUACCAACAGAAGAAGCGACGGCUAAAUACGUGCCAGCAGCCGCGGUAAUACGUAUGUCGCGAGCGUUAUCCGGAAUUAUUGGGCAUAAAGGGCAUCUAGGCGGCUAAUUAAGUCAGGGGUGAAAACUUAGGGCUCAACCUUGAGCUUGCCUUUGAAACUAAUUAGCUAGAGUGUUGGAGAAGUGGGAGGAACUACACGAGUAGAGGUGAAAUUCGUAGAUAUGUGUAGGAAUGCCGAUGAUGAAGAUAUCUCACUGGACGACAACUGACGCUGAAGUGCGAAAGCUAGGGGAGCAAACAGGAUUAGAUACCCUGGUAGUCCUAGCUGUAAACGAUGAUUACUGGGUGUGGGCAUUGAGAGUGUCUGUGC